rnacentral:rRNA from 1 species
AUUGAACGCUGGCGGCGUGCUUAACACAUGCAAGUCGGAUGUGCAGCAAUGUGCAUGGCAGACGGGUGAGUAACGCGUAGGGAACCUACCUUUUUGUGGGGAAUAACGUUCCGAAAGGAAUGGUAAUACCGCAUGUGAUCCACGACUGGGAUGUUGUGGAUGAAAGCCGGGGAUCGAAAGACCUGGCGCAAGAAGAGGGUCCUGCGUCUGAUUAGCUAGUUGGUGGGGUAACGGCCUACCAAGGCGACGAUCAGUAGCCGGCCUGAGAGGGUGAUCGGCCACACUGGAACUGAGACACGGUCCAGACUCCUACGGGAGGCAGCAGUGGGGAAUUUUGCGCAAUGGACGAAAGUCUGACGCAGCAACGCCGCGUGGGUGAUGAAGGUCUUCGGAUUGUAAAACCCUGUCGUCAGGGACGAAGGUAGGGAUCCUAAUACGAUUUCUGCUUGACGGUACCUGGAGAGGAAGCCCCGGCUAACUCUGUGCCAGCCGCCGCGGUAAGAC